AUAACACAGUUUCUAACAGUUCAUAUCAGGAACUAGCUCAAUGCCAACAGAAAUAUUGGUCUCAUAAGUAAGAACUGUAAAUCAUCAACCUGAGAACCAAGUUCUUUUUGAGAGACCAUAACCCACCAGCUGGCUCGUGUGGGUGAUGGGAAAGACCUCUACAAACAUUCCGAUAUAAAGAAGCAAAACGCAACUGUAAGGAAACCCAUGAAAUCAUGAUUCGACCAGAUUCUCCAUGUAGCCGAGAACACACAGACUACUAACGUGGCUGAUAGGCAGAACCAAAGUGGCCAAGAUAACAACAUAGGAGGGCUCUGCGAUGGGGAUGGGGCGCGACAGGUUCACACAGAGGUUUGUUUUGAUGAAGGAAUGUUACUUCCUCUGAGCACAAUGGAAAUCCUCACCUUUGCCUCCUCAGGGGAGAAGGAAACAUCCUAACACCAGAGGCAACCUGUUAGUGUACACG